UACGUAGGGGGCGAGCGUUGUCCGGAAUUACUGGGCGUAAAGGGCGCGUAGGCGGCCCGCUAAGUCCGUUGUGAAAGACCGAGGCUCAACCUCGGAGCGUCAACGGAGACUGGUAGGCUGGAGGGUCGGAGAGGAGCGGGGAAGUCCCUGGUGUAGCGGUGGAAUGCGUAGAGAUCAGGGGAACACCGAUGGCGAAGGCAGCCGCUCUGGCCGAUCACUGACGCUGAGGCGCGAAAGCUGGGGGAGCGAACGGG
rnacentral:rRNA from 1 species